rnacentral:rRNA from 1 species
GUGCCAGCCGCCGCGGUAAUACGUAGGGGGCAAGCGUUGUCCGGAAUUAUUGGGCGUAAAGCGCGCGCAGGCGGCCGCUUAAGUCUCGUGUUUAAGCCCGGGGCUCAACCCCGGAUCGCACGGGAAACUGGGCGGCUUGAGUGCAGGAGAGGGGAGCGGAAUUCCACGUGUAGCGGUGAAAUGCGUAGAGAUGUGGAGGAACACCAGUGGCGAAGGCGGCUCUCUGGCCUGUAACUGACGCUGAGGCGCGAAAGCGUGGGGAGCGAACAGGAUUAGAUACCCUGGUAGUCCACGCCGUAAACGAUGAAUGCUAGGUGUUAGGGGGAACGAACCUCUUAGUGCCGAAGUUAACACAUUAAGCAUUCCGCCUGGGGAGUACGGUCGCAAGACUGAAACUUAAAUGAAUUGACGGGG